UCUUGUUUGGGGAUUGGAGAGGGAAGUGCGUCUGGAUGACUACUAAGAUGAGGAGGCUGAGGCCUAGUGCUCCUAGCGGGCUUGGUCAAGAGCAGGAGGCGGAGGUGGUGGAAGGCUGUUUCCCUGCGCAUUCUAGCCUGUGAGAAGAAGAAAUGUGUGAAAAUUCUGGAGCUUUCCUCUCCCAGGGAUAACUGGAGGCCUUGAGGAUUGAAAGAGAAAGCGUCGGUUUUUUGUCCUUGAGAUAGUUUGCUGAGAAUGAUGGUUUCCAGCUUCAUCCAUGUCCCUACAAAGGACACGAACUCAUCAUUUUUUUAUGGCUGCAUAGUAUUCCAUGGUGUAUAUGUGCCACAUUUUCUUAAUCCAGUCUAUCAUUGUUGGACAUUUGGGUUGGUUCCAAGUCUUUGCUAUUGUGAAUAGUGCCGUAAUAAACAUGUACCCUAAAACUUAAAGUAUAAUAAAAAGAAAAAAAAGAAAAGAAA
rnacentral:lncRNA from 1 species